CUGCUGCUAUUCAAUAUGGAAUCUGUCUGUCAAUCUAUCUGUCAAUCUGCAUACCAAUCUGUCUGUCAAUCUGUGUGUCAAUCUGUCAAUCAGAUAAAUAUUCUAUUCCUUCAUCUAUCUGUACUGUCUUUCUUCUCUAUACUCAUUGCCAUCUUCUAACUCUAUAAUCUUUUCAAUAAGUACAGAAAUCUGCUCAAUUUAUAUCUGUAUCUUCUCUUGUAACAGAUUCUUUCAUAUCUGUUUUUAUACUCUAACAGCUUCUAUAUGAUUCUUAGAAUGUUAUAAACCUGCGGCACAAGCCAGGGCUUAUUGGAUAAGAACUGAAGGGAUGCAGGAACAGAACAACCCUCAACCAAGAUU
rnacentral:sRNA from 2 species